rnacentral:tRNA from 1 species
GGGGGUAUAGCUCAGUGUUAGAGCAUUUGACUGCAGAUCAAGAGGUCCCUAGUUCAAGUGCCCCCU